GGAAGUAAAAGUCGUAACAGGGUUUCCGUAGGUGAACCUGCGGAAGGAUCAUUAUUGUAUAACCGAGGUGCGAGGGCUGUCGCUGACCCGAAAGGUCGUGCACGCCCGAGUGCCCUCACACACAUCCAUCUCACCCCUAUGUGCACCACCGCGUGGGUCCCCCUUUGGCUUGUUCGGAGGGGGGCUUACGUUUUCUCACAAACUUUGUAUGCAGUGUAGAAUGUAUUUUUUGUUUUUGCGAUCACGCAAUCAAUACAACUUUCAACAACGGAUCUCUUGGCUCUC
rnacentral:misc_RNA from 1 species